GACGAACGCUGGCGGCGUGCUUAACACAUGCAAGUCGAACGAAGAGCGAUGGAAGCUUGCUUCUAUCAAUCUUAGUGGCGAACGGGUGAGUAACGCGUAAUCAACCUGCCCUUCAGAGGGGGACAACAGUUGGAAACGACUGCUAAUACCGCAUACGAUCUAACCUCGGCAUCGAGGAAAGAUGAAAGGUGGCCUCUAUGUAUAAGCUAUCACUGAAGGAGGGGAUUGCGUCUGAUUAGCUAGUUGGAGGGGUAACGGCCCACCAAGGCGAUGAUCAGUAGCCGGUCUGAGAGGAUGAACGGCCACAUUGGGACUGAGACACGGCCCAGACUCCUACGGGAGGCAGCAGUGGGGAAUCUUCCGCAAUGGACGAAAGUCUGACGGAGCAACGCCGCGUGAGUGAUGACGGCCUUCGGGUUGUAAAGCUCUGUUAAUCGGGACGAAAGGCCUUCUUGCGAAUAGUGAGAAGGAUUGACGGUACCGGAAUAGAAAGCCACGGCUAACUACGUG
rnacentral:rRNA from 1 species